GACGAACGCUGGCGGCGUGCUUAACACAUGCAAGUCGAACGGAAAGGCCCUGCUUUUGUGGGGUGCUCGAGUGGCGAACGGGUGAGUAACACGUGAGUAACCUGCCCUUGACUUUGGGAUAACUUCAGGAAACUGGGGCUAAUACCGGAUAGGAGCUCCUGCUGCAUGGUGGGGGUUGGUAAGUUUCGGCGGUUGGGGAUGGACUAGCGGCUUAUGAGCUUGUUGGUGGGGUAGUGGCAUAGCAAGGCUUUGAAGCGUGGCCGGGCUGGGAGGGUGACAGGACACAUCAGAACUGGGCUGCGACCCGGACCCCAACCGGAGGGAGCGCUGCGGAAUAGUACACUAGACGCGGAGGGAUGGUGUAACAACGCCAUGUGGCGUAAGUCGUGCUGGGGUUAGGAAUGCGCUUCCGUCUUAGACGAGAUGAUAGUGACGGUAACGGGUAAAUAAGCACCGGCUAACUACGUG
rnacentral:rRNA from 1 species